rnacentral:rRNA from 1 species
CCAAUAGCGUAUAUUAAAGUUGUUGCAGUUAAAAAGCUCGUAGUUGAAUUUCGGGAUCGAAUUGUUGGUCGUGCUUCGGUACGUACUGGCAUUAUUGGUUCCUACCUUCUGAAGAACCGCGAUGUCAUUAAUUUGGUGUCGUGGGGAAUCAGGACUGUUACUUUGAAAAAAUUAGAGUGUUUAAAGCAGGCGCACGCUUGAAUACAUUAGCAUGGAAUAAUGAAAUAGGACGUUUGAUUCUAUUUUGUUGGUUUCUAGGAUCGACGUAAUGAUUAAUAGGGAUAGUUGGGGGCAUUAGUAUUCAAUUGUCAGAGGUGAAAUUCUUGGAUUUAUUGAAGACUAACUACUGCGAAAGCAUUUGCCAAGGAUGUUUUCAUUAAUCAAGAACGAAAGUUAGGGGAUCGAAGACGAUCAGAUACCGUCGUAGUCUUAACCAUAAACUAUGCCGACUAGGGAUCGGAUGAUGUUAAUUUUUUAAUGACUCAUUCGGCGCCUUACG